GGAGCCAAGGCCCAGAGUCACGGAGCAUCAAUAAUCCUAAUGGCACACGUGCACAACGCUCACAGAGGGACCUCAACACACUCCCAGGGGUUUGCGGAAGAGAAGGCCUAGGAGGACCGACAACUUCUCUCCAACCUGCACAUCAGAGCUGGCCGGGCUCCCAGGGAAGUCUCAGAGCAUGAAUGGACUCCUUGCCCCACCCCGCAACAAGCAGAGAAACAGCCAACACCGGGGACCUCCUCCUGGGUGGCCUCCGUGCUUAACCCUGCAGUUUCCACCUACAGAACAAGCACCAACUCCAGCCUGGAGACACCAAGCCAAGGGCCAACCUUGCCUUCUGUUCGCCCUGCACUGCCCAUCUAAAUCUCUGAGGUGGAGGAGGUGGUCUCUGCGGUGGAGGAGAGGCUUCAGCGGCACGUGAUGCGCCGAGAGGUGUGCCCAGCCUGGCGUGGAGCUGGGUAAAAGAGAGAAAGAGAACCAUGUACAGCAUGGAAGCUUUUUGUCAAUUUCUUGACUGUGGCAAGAUUUUAAUCUGCUGCCUUAAAGAAUCCCUGAAAACCACCCCUGUGAGGAUCAAGAAAGGGAUGAAAUACUGGUUUAUACAAUCCACUGUUGCAUGUAGCCUGAAAAUAACACUUUUCAUUAAAAAAGAAAAAUCAAGAAGAGCUUGAACACUCUGCUCCAGGGAGCUCGGAUUU